rnacentral:rRNA from 1 species
GACGAACGCUGGCGGCGUGCUUAACACAUGCAAGUCGAACGGAAAGGCCCUGCUUUUGUGGGGUGCUCGAGUGGCGAACGGGUGAGUAACACGUGAGUAACCUGCCCUUGACUUUGGGAUAACUUCAGGAAACUGGGGCUAAUACCGGAUAGGAGCUCCUGCUGCAUGGUGGGGGUUGGAAAGUUUCGGCGGUUGGGGAUGGACUCGCGGCUUAUCAGCUUGUUGGUGGGGUAGUGGCUUACCAAGGCUUUGACGGGUAGCCGGCCUGAGAGGGUGACCGGCCACAUUAGGACUGAGAUACGGCCCAGACUCCUACGGGAGGCAGCAGUGGGGAAUAUUGCACAAUGAGCGGAAGCCUGAUGCAGCAACGCCGCGUGCGUGAUGACGGCCUUCGGGUUGUAAACCGCUUUCGCCUGUGACGAAGCGUGAGUGACGGUAAUGAAUAAAGAAGCACCGGCUAACUACGUG